UACGUAGGUGGCAAGCGUUGUCCGGAUUUAUUGGGUUUAAAGCGUGCGCAGGCGGUUUUGUAAGCCUGUCGUGAAAGCCCCGGGCUCAACCUGGGAAUUGCGAUGGAGACUGCAAGGCUUGAAUCUGGCAGAGGGGGGUAGAAUUCCACGUGUAGCAGUGAAAUGCGUAGAGAUGUGGAGGAACACCGAUGGCGAAGGCAGCCCCCUGGGUCAAGAUUGACGCUCAUGCACGAAAGCGUGGGGAGCAAACAGG
rnacentral:rRNA from 1 species